GCUUGCUAAUACUUUGUAUUUAAAAUACUUUUUACCCAGUUUUGGUUAAUACAUAAAAAAAGAACAUUUUUGUGUUGAAAAUAUCUUUACUUUUAAAAUAUUAAAUAUUUAAAUCAAGUUAUAAUAUAUAGCGUUUAUCAGACAUGACUUGUAUUACGAAUUUUGUAGUUUUAUAAAAAAAAAAUAUAUUAUUAUUAUUCAACAAUAAUUUUCAUGAUUUAAGAGAAAAAAAUUGAAGAGAAAAUAACAACACUUUCAAAAUUAAAAUUUCUUAUAAUACCUCUAUUUUUUACUUUUUUUCUCUUUAUUGAAAAUCUAUAUUACAUUACGCUGUAUUAUAUUCUAAUUUAAAAAAUAAAAUUUUAAUUUAAAAAAAAUUUAUUUUUUAUACCGGCGAUGUAUAUCGGAACUGUCUAAUAUGUAGAGCAAAUUAUUCCAUUCCCAAAACAUUGCUCUUGCUCAAUGCAAUAGCAACGCUGAUUUGUAUUAACAUAAAAAAGUCAUGUAUACAUUUCAAAUACGUGUUUCAUUCUACUUUUAUUAUCAUUUGUACGUUUUUAAUACACCCAGGUAACCAAAUGUUAGCAUGAUGACCGCAUAAUGCACGCAUGCGUGCAAUGGCAUGCUGUCACUGUGACAUCGAGCUAAUUAUCCAUGUGGCAAGCACUGUGUUGACACGUCGUGUUCAAUACGCUGUGUCAACAUUGUGCAAGCACUCUACAUUUCAAAAUGCUGGUAUUGUGCUAGUACGCAAACCUUUCUAAACUAUAUACUUUUUCUUGGGGCAUUUUUAGUUUCUUAUACGAGAUGUAAUAAUUGUCACAUUUUUAUGUAUUAUGUCAUGAUCAAUAUUAUAGUUAAUUAUUCUGCAUGCAAAUGUUAUCAUUUCUAUCUCAACAGCAACACUGGUACAAAACAAAUAAAUAUUCUAUGUAUUUACAUAAAUGUUUAUAUAUAUAUGUAUAUAAUAUUAAUGAUUUAUAAUCGUUAAAAUAAUAAAAUGUAUUUUAUUUCCUCUUCUUUUAAAAUUAUACAUAUUUCCUAACACACAUACUUAGAAUUUAUAGCCAUUAGCAUGCUUUGUUUGUUUUAUUUAAAUGUAUUAUUCAUGAAAUAAAAAACAAAGAUAAAGUGACAAAAAAGCGCGCUACCAUUUUUUAUAAGCGUGUUGUAAAUGUAGAUAUAAAUUAUCAAGAAAAAGAUAAACAAUGCUGUUAUUACGCUAUGACGUAAAACGAUAUCACGUUAAAUGCAGUUUACUUUGAACUGAGAAGAGGAGGGAUACUACACCGGACGUAUUGAUGUAUUCGGUAUUGAAAGAUUACGCGAGAGAUUUAGUGCAACAAUGUUAAACUGUUUUAUUUUGUUGUUUUAAUUUGUUUGUUGUAUUUUAGUAAGUCUCAUGACAGCGUCAAAACCACUUUUAAUUUUACUGAUAGAGUCAUGUCCAUCUCCAAGUCAUCAUGUCUGUACGAUGCAUUUAAAUCAAGGACUGCUUCGAAAAGGUCAUCAUGUACAAUACAUGCAGUGAACAUACACAUGCCUAAGGUCGAGGGUAAAUUUACGCAGAACUUGACAUACGCCGUUUUUGAUGACUUAAUGACAAAUUAUGAAGAGACCGAGGAUUAUAACCCGGCUGAGUGGAAAAGCUACAGCACGUUUUAUGUAACAUAUUUCAUAUAUGAAUGGAGUAUUGAAUCAUGGCAUUGUUAAAAUCUAAAGCAACGAAAAAGCUUUUGGAAAUGAUUAAGACUGUUGACUUAUGACGUUAUACAGUACAUGACAUCGGUCUGGAUCAGUGUUCUUAUAGAUUGUGAGAGGUAUUUUUUUCAGGUUGCUAAAAAUAAACCAUCCAUAGUAGAAUAUGUUCCGUUUGGCCGUGCACCUUGGCUGAAAGAUUAUAUAGGUGGUUCAAAUUAUUCAACUAUUCGACCUUACCCAGCAACCUUUACGAAACUCGUAAGUUUGUGACAGAGAACAUGGAAUGCUGUAUAUUACAUUUCAAAUGAUACCUUACGAUAAUACUUAAUUACAACCCUUCAACGGCUUGCUGAGGAAUUCAUGGGCCACACGACCAGGGCAAUUACGUGAAAUAGAAAAAGACAGAAUUAAUCAUUUACUAUUUAAUACUCAUUCCUUAUUCGAUUCUGGGAUUUCUUUGUUGCCAAAUGCCCUAGAAAUUGCAGGAUUGAAUACUCAAACGUGUAAUCAAUUGCUGGAGAGGUAGUUGUAACGUUUUCCGAGAUAAGAUAAAUUGUUUUUUUGAGAACUAGCAAAUUUAGCAAGUGUAAGAAUAUUAGCAAAAGUAAAACUAUAUUUUAAAGAACUGGAAAUUUAAUGAAAUUUUGAUUAUAUUAUUAAGCAUAAUAUUAUCUAUAUCCGAAAAUUUUCAGGGACUUACCGUUUCGUCUUACAUAUGUGAUAAGGAUUUUUGUAUUUAUAUUUAUGAUAUUGGGAGAACUUUUUACAAGAACGUACUGUUCUAAUUAGGAAGAUAUUAGAUAAAUCAUUAGAGUAAAGCUUGUUUACUUAUUUUUUAGCGUUGUAAAGAAGAGUUUUUAUAUACGUUUAUUUUUUAUAAAAUGUGCUUAUGUAUGAAGUCUAAUAUAUAAAAAAUAUAUUUAAAUGUGA